rnacentral:rRNA from 1 species
GACGAACGCUGGCGGCGUGCUUAACACAUGCAAGUCGAGCGAUGAAACACCUUCGGGUGCGGAUUAGCGGCGAACGGGUGAGGAACACGUGAGGAAUCUGCCUUCCACUCUGGGAUAACUCCGGGAAACCGGGGCUAAUACCGGAUACUUUCCACUGGCGGCAUCGCCGGUUGAAGAAAGUUUUUCGGUGGAAGAUGACCUCGCGGCCAAUCAGCUGGUUGGUGAGGGAAAGGCUCACCAAGGCGACGACGGGUGGCCGGCCUGAGAGGGCGACCGGCCACACUGGGACUGAGACACGGCCCAGACUCAUACGGGAGGCAGCAGUGGGGAAUAUUGGGCAAUGGAGGAAACUCUGACCCAGCGACGCCGCGUGAGGGAUGAAGGCCUUAGGGUUGUAAACCUCUUUCAGCAGGGAAUAAGCGAAAGUGAAGGUACCUGCAGAAGAAGCACCGGCUAACUAUGUGCCAGCCGCCGCCGUAA